AUCUUUGCGCUUGGGGCAAUAAUGCAGCUAGUGAGGUUCUAACCGAGGCGCGUCUAUUUCUGGUUGAAAACUAUUUCCAAACCCCCUCUUAGGCCUUUGGCCUUUGAGAAUUUUUGGAAGGGCUCCCUUUGGGGUAAAGCC
rnacentral:snRNA from 1 species